rnacentral:rRNA from 1 species
UGGGGAAUAUUGCACAAUGGGCGCAAGCCUGAUGCAGCCAUGCCGCGUGUAUGAAGAAGGCCUUCGGGUUGUAAAGUACUUUCAGCGAGGAGGAAGGCGUUGUGGUUAAUAACCGCAACGAUUGACGUUACUCGCAGAAGAAGCACCGGCUAACUCCGUGCCAGCAGCCGCGGUAAUACGGAGGGUGCAAGUGUUAAUCGGAAUUACUGGGCGUAAAGCGCACGCAGGCGGUCUGUCAAGUCGGAUGUGAAAUCCCCGGGCUCAACCUGGGAACUGCAUCCGAAACUGGCAGGCUAGAGUCUUGUAGAGGGGGGUAGAAUUCCAGGUGUAGCGGUGAAAUGCGUAGAGAUCUGGAGGAAUACCGGUGGCGAAGGCGGCCCCCUGGACAAAGACUGACGCUCAGGUGCGAAAGCGUGGGGAGCAAACA